CAGACGAUUCGACGCUUCGACACACAGGACACAUCACUAGUGGAGAGGAAAGUUCUGCAGAAUAGAUUGAAGAAGCGGGGAAUUGGGGAAUUUAAUCUGAAGAGUGUGUUGGAGGGUAGCAGGGCACAGGUGAGGGAACGGGUGGGGUUUCUGAAGGAUAUAGGUGUUUAUGUAAGAGUGUAGGGUUUUUUUUAAUACAAAUUGUAAACUCACUGUCUGGCCCAUACUCCGGAACAGUAGGAGGCGGUAAUGCUCCUUUGCGUUGGUUGCCAACCGCCGUUAAACACAAGGAAGAAGAGAGCUGCUUUUUCAUGAGACGGGAGUAAAGUAGUGAACUUACAGGAACAUAUACCACCAACAACGUUUGGAUCGAUAUCUGCAUCGAUCUGCACACCCUUGUCUCCUGGAUUGUAGCUGAGAUCAGCGUGAACCACGUGGGUCUCUGCUCCCUGAUCUGUUUCCUGUUUGGAAAGACUUCCAGCUUUAUCGCGGAGUUUCUCUUGGUUUGUGGGCUCAUCUAAAGCUGAGUAACGGGAGGAGGAGAGUCUGGUGGUGCAGCAGAGGAACAUUUUCAGCCAUUUGGACUCAGCUGAGCCACUACAGAGGAAACAAUGACUUCAACACAAAAGGUACAACAUGGAGCGAGAAGUCAGCGCUGUCAGGAGGCCGACAAACGUCACAGAAGAAAGGGAAAGAAAACCUACAGCUGUGAUGAGUGUGGGAAGGAUUUUACCCGGACUGACAACCUAAAAACACACCAACUCAUCCACAGUGGCGUUAAGCCUUACAGUUGUGACUUGUGUGGAAAGUCUUUUACCCUGGCUGGAGGCUUAAAAAAACACCAACUCAUCCACAGUGGAGUUAAAGCUUACAGCUGUGAGUUGUGUGGAAAGUCUUUUACCCUGGCUCGACGCCUAAAAACACACCAACUUAUCCACAGUGGAGUUAAACCUCACAGGUGUGACUUGUGUGGAAAGUCUUUUACCCAGGCUGGAAACUUAAAAACACACCAAGUCAUCCACAGUGGAGUUAAAGCGUACAGCUGUGAGUUGUGUGGAAGGUCUUUUACCAGGGCUGUACACUUCAAAAGACACCAACUCAUCCACCGUGGAGUUAAACCUCACAGCUGUGACUUGUGUGGAAAGUCUUUUACCCGGGCUGAUCAAUUAAAAACACACCAAAUCACCCACAGUGGAGUUAAAGCGUACAACUGUGACUUGUGUGGAAAGUCAUUUACCAUGGCUCAAACCUUAAAAACACACCAACUCAUCCACAGUGGAGUUAAACCUCACAGCUGUGACUUGUGUGGAAAGUCUUUUACCCGGGCUGAACACUUAAAAACACACCAAAUCACCCACAGUGGAUUUAAAGCGUACAACUGUGACUUGUGUGCAAAGUCUUUUACCCAGGCUGCACAAUUAAAACAACACCAACUCAUCCACAGUGGAGUCAAAGAGUGCAUCUGUGGCUUUUGUGGUAAAGCUUUUGCUCAUAAUGUCGGUUUACAGAGGCAUCUAGUUACCCACUCUGGAAUUAAGGUGUACAGCUGCGAAUUUUGUGGAAAAAGUUUCAGCGACAAACACUACCGAAAUAGUCACCUCCGGAUUCACACUGGAAAUGAUGUUUACUGCUGUGAUCAGUGUGGGAAACUGUUUGCAACAGAUGCACAGUUACAACGACACAUGUUUAUCCACACUGAGGAGAGACCUUGAAAGUGUGACCUGUGUGAGAAGACUUUUAAAACUCCACAUCAGCUGAAUAAACACAAACAGAUCCACCCCCAGCCGCGUUCGUACGGGUUCUUGAAAAUGUUGGAAAUGCUUGAAUUCUAAUGUUGUCUUUUCAAGGUUUGACAAGUGGUUGAAUUUCAAAUGUGGUGCUUAAAAGUGCUUGAAAAUUUAACUGUAUUUCUUUCACAAUAAAUAGCUAACUGAGUGAAUAGUUUUCAUAUCAGAUAGAGAAAUAAAAUGAGUCGCAAAAGCAAAAUUUCCUCGCCUGGGCUGCCUUGCGUCUGUUUCAAUAUGUGACCACGCCCCUCCCUUGGACAGUCGGGGAUGAGUGCGCUAACAUACCUGUAGGUCGCUGUUUUAAUGAGUUUUUGAUGGAAAACAAUAAUGGCGUUUGUGCUCUCCGCUCACCUUAUAGGUGAGUCCUAGUAAAUAAUUUUCCACUACACGUACAUGACGCAUGCUAUUUUUUUAAAAUUCUGAUUAUUUUUUUGCUAGCUAUCAAACUGGCUGGAGAAAUGAUUGUUCUACUAGUGAAUAUCAAAGUUGCUGCAAAAAAGCCACCAAAGGCAGGUUGCAGUGGAAACGCUGAGUGACACACCUGCUGUCAGACCUGCAGGUUUAUCCCUGUGCUGUUCUCAUCUGUUAUAGUGGAAAAGCUUAAAAAGGGACCUUGAAAGUAGGGCUGCUCGAUUAUGGCAAAAAUGAUAAUCACGAUUAAAAUUCGAUUAAUUGAGCAGCCCUACUUGAAAGUGCUUAAAAAGUGCUUGAAUUUGACCCUGAAAAAAGCGUACGAACCCGGCACACCUGAAAGUAUCUCUACAAGUGCAGUUACUGUGAGGUAUGUAUUUAGUUUUUUAUCUCGUAUUUUUAACCUGAGUGUUUGGAACAAGUCUGAUCAGUAAACUUACGGAGUUAUACUGAAUGAACUGUUUGGAAAAAUGAAGAAUCAUUUUCUCUCAGUAAGUGAGUGUUGUAAUGUAAACAGUAAAAUGUAAUUGGAUGUUGGCAGAGAUGCUUUUUAUUUCAGGCGACGUUCAGGUUAAAAAUGUUGAAGGAAUUCCCUGACUUACCCUGUCUGUGUUUAGAAGUGGAGCAAAGCAUGUGUAUCCAUUUCAUCCAUUUGUGUUGGUGGGAAAGAGUUUCUCUGUGACCUUUGUGAAAAACCUCCAGUCAUGAACGGGACCUAAAACCACGUCAACGUAGACACACUUGAGCCAAAAUGAACUACUGCAAAGAAUGUGGGAGAGGCUUCCACACACGAAGUACAUUAAAAAUACAUGAACUCUUCCACAGUGGUGUCAAAAAGCACAUCUGUGACCAGUGUGGGUCAUCCUUCACCACUGGACAUGAGCUCAAUGAAAAAGCAUAAGCAAAUCCACACAGGAGAGACACCAUACAAGUGCAGACGCUGUGACAAAAGCUUCUCACAAUCAGGUCAUCGUAACAAACAUGAACACACAUGGAAGUGAACUUCAGCUGUGACCAGUGUGACAAGAGCUUCAGGAAUCUCAGUUCAUACUCCGAACACAAAAGAUCCCACACUGUAAAUAAACUGUUUCACUGUUACCAAUGUGCAAAAACAUUCACUUCAUUAUCUGCUCUGUGCAAACAUCAGCCUGAUCAUGCAGGACUGAAAUCACUGGAUCACAAUGAAUCUGAAGAGAGAGAAAGAUCCUCUUCUGGUUUCAGGGUCAGACUUUAAUUUGUCAUUUUACGUGGAUCCUUCACCUCCUAAAUUGAUGAUCCAAAGGCGGAUUAUAAACCAGGAUGCUGCUGGAAGGUUCUCUGCCAUGUUUGACCCUCGCAUGGCUCAAAAUGACGUUGAUUCACUUAUUUUGUCUUUUAACAAUCAAUGUAAAUCUAUUUUAGAUGCGGUGGCACCUCUGAAACAAAAUGUUGUCCAUUCUUCACAUUGCUGUCCUUGGAUAAAUGAAAAUAUUCGAAAUUUUAGGAGACAUUGUCGCAAAUUAGAACGUUUAUGGAAGGCUUCCAAGCUUGAGGUCCAUAGGAUACAUCUCAAGGAAUCAAUUUUCUUACUUAAUGACAUGAUAAAAAAUGCCAGAACUGAAUAUUUUGCUAAUCUAAUAGCUUCAAAAAAGAAAAAUCCCAGAGUAUUGUUUGAUACAAUUAAGAACAUUGUCUCUCCUGAUGUUCCUCAUGUACCAGUCUAUACUAAAUCUGAUUGUAAUGACUUUUUAAACUAUUUUGUUAAUAAGGUCACUGCCAUCAGGUCUAAUAUUUCUCCAUCAUCUUCUCAGUAUCACACUGACACGUUGCUUACCUCUGACACCUGGUCCUCUUUUACUCCUGUCACCUUGCAGGACAUCAGUGCUCUACUCGGUCGAAUGAAACUGAUUUCAAGCCACCUUGAUGUACUUCCUCCAUCAUUUUUCAUUAGUGUGUUUGACUCUAUUGGCCCCUGUAUUCUGGAAAUAAUUAAUAUUUCUCUUUAUACUGGCUCAGUUCCCAGCUAUUUUAAACAAGCUAUUGUUGAACCAAUAUUAAAGAAACCAAAUUUGGACCCAUCUCUUCCAAGCAGUUACAGGCCAAUAUCAAAAUUACCAUUGAUGUCAAAGAUCUUAGAAAAAACAGUUGCAGAACAACUUAACAACUUUUUGGAGAAGAACAAUGUUCUGGACAUUUUCCAGUCUGGUUUCCGCAAAUUGCACUCCACGGAAACCGCUUUGCUUAAAGUAUCUAGUGACAUUUUGAUGGCAGCAGACUCUGGAGAGUACACCGUUCUGGUUCUGUUGGAUCUCAGCUCUGCUUUUGAUACUGUUGAUCACAGCAUCAUGAUAAAUAGGCUAAAGGACUUGUUCGGGAUUACUGGUGUUGUUUUAAAAUGGUUUAUGUCGUAUCUGUCUGAGAGAUCCUUUACUGUCUGUAUCAAUCAUGUGUUGUCUGAAACAUCAGUUCUGUCUUCUGGGGUACCUCAAGGAUCUGUUUUAGGUCCUAUUCUCUUUUUGCUGUAUAUACUCCCUCUAGGCCAAAUUAUCAAACGUUACAGUAAUAUUUCUUAUCAUCUCUAUGCUGAUGACAUUCAGUUAUACUGUUCUUUCAAAGCUUCUGAGUUUUACAAAUUGUCUUGUUUAAAUAAUUGUCUGUCAGAAAUCAAACAAUGGUUAAAUGACAAUUUCCUUCAGUUAAAUGCAGAUAAAACAGAAACCUUGAUUAUUGCACCUGAUCACAUGCUCUCAGAAAUUCAGCAGCAUAUCAGUUUUUUAGACCCUUCAUUUCAGUCGAGUCUCAGAAACUUAGGUGUUAUAUUUGACAGUUCAAUGUCUCUUGAGAAACACUCUAAACAACUUGUCCGGAACUGUUUUUAUCAUUUAAGAAACAUUUCUAAACUCAGACUACUGGUGUCAAAGGCAGAACUUGAGAUGAUUAUUCAUGCUUUUAUCUCUUCUCGUUUGGAUUAUUGUAAUGGUCUUUUUACGUGUCUCAACAAAUCAGCUCUGGAUCGCCUUCAGUCUGUACAAAAUGCAGCGGCAAGACUUUUAACUGGUACAAACAAGAGGUCUCACAUUACUCCAGUUUUGGCUUCUCUUCAUUGGUUGCCAGUACAUUUUAGGGUUCAUUUUAAAAUUUUAGUUGUAACUUUUAGAGCUCUGCACGGUGAAGCUCCCCAGUAUAUCUCUGACCUGUUGAAACCUCAUGCUUCAUCCCGAGCACUUAGGUCCUUAGGUCAGAGGCUACUGGUGGUCCCACGUACUAGGUUUAAAACACGUGGGGAUCAGGCUUUUCAGGCACUGGCACCUAGGCUGUGGAACUCCCUGCCGUUGUCUUUACGCUGUCUAGACUCUACUGACUCCUUUAAAAAGCAGCUGAAGACAUUUUUAUACAAACAGGCUUUUAAUUAAUUAAUUAAUUUUAACUUGUGUGUCUGAUCUUAUUGUGAAGCACUUUGUGAUUUUUAUCUGUGAAAUGUGCUAUAUAAAUAAAUUUUACUUACUUACUUACUUACUUACUAAAAACCUUGAGAUCAGGCUCCACAGAGUUCAGAUGGAAUCUCCUGUAAAGAGUGUCAGCUGAUUUCACACUUGGAUCUGAUGAGAUAGCUCUGAUUUCUGGAGCUGCAGUGAAUAAUCCUGAAUGUUGCAUUUAGGAAGCUGCAUGUAUAGAUAUGCAGAUCAAGUUUAUGUUUUUUCCUUUGAGGGAUUUUAAUUCUCUAAAAUGUUAUCCCUGUUACAUUUUAAUCUUUGUUUUCUUAGGACACAGUAGUGUUUAGUAGUUGUAUUAAUUUUAUGUGUUACCCCAGUUAAAUUUCAAUCCUUCAUUCAUAUUUAAUCUUUUGCUGUGGUAAAAUCUUCUCUUAAAUCCUUUUCUCCCAAAACUGCAAAUAUUUUCACAGCAGUUGCUCUUAAAACCUCCAAAAUGAACUAAAUCUGUCCACCAGCUUUGAAACAACACCUGCUGUGACUUUAUGUCCAGAAAAAAUCUAAACUGGUUUUGGGCUGUACUUCCAUAUAAUACCAGUUUGUACCAGAAGAUGAAGCAGUGAGUCAGUGUAACCUUUAUUUAAUUAGGCAAUAAACACAAUCUUAUUCACAGUGGCAGCAAAGAAAUGUUGAAAGUUAAAAACAGCAGCACACAUCAGGACCAUUUUAAAGAUCACAGGUGACUUUUACUUAAUUCAAAUUCCUUCAAAUUUUGGCUCCUCCUUUCUCUUUAGUGUAUUUACUGUAUCCUUGAAGUCCACGUGUUGUUUUUUAAUGAAUUCAUUUUGAUCCACAUGUUCUGCAGCUGUUUUCCUGUUGAUUUGAAGUUUGUAUUAUGAAAUCCUAAUCAUGUUAAAGUGUUAGUUAUAUCUGAUGAACUCUGUAACGUUUGUCUUAUUAAACAGUUUGGUGUGUAAAAUGAAGAAUUGGUCUCAGAACAAGUAGUUUGAGCCAUGAUUUCAGAUUCAAACUAAUUAAACUGUUUUCAGUGGUACAUGUGGAGGUUUAUCAGAGGAGGAGACUUGGCUGUUCUCCACUCACACAGAACAGGGUUCCUGCAGCUCAUUAAAAACUCUGAAAUGAUCUUCAAGGACAAAAAUAUUUGAUUUUUCUCAAAAACGUGCUGUAGGCAUGACGUUUUUAGAGAGUGUGUUUAAGAUGCAUUGUGAUUAACAUCUCACA